AGGAUUUUAAUUGAAAAAUUUAAUGAUUUGGUUUUAAAAGCUCAGAUGGCUUUCUUUUUAUUUAUUUAUUUUUUGAUAAUAAAAUUGCAUGCCAACGCAUAUUUGGUCCAAAAUAUGUGAAUGCAGGCCCAAAUGUUGAUAUAUCCCAUCACCACAAACGAUUUGUUUUCUAGUGUUUGUCUUUGUUUUUAUUUUCUGGUUUUCCCUAAUUCAUUUUCUUGCUCAAUUGUGUGCGCAGAUAUCUGAUUUUUCAAUCAUGUUUUUGACAAGAUUUACUGGGAGGACACUCCUUGCUGCUGCUAAAUCUGAAACUCCCGCUGCCUCUGCUGCUGCUGCUGCAGCUACAGCUACAUCUGGACAUAACCCGCUUAAGGACUUCUUUGAGUUUGACAGGAGCCAGGAUGAGGAUAAACUGAUUGUAUACGGGCGAAGUUGGAAAGCUUCUGAACUACGCAUAAAGGCUUGGGAUGAUCUUCAUAAGUUAUGGUAUGUUAUGUUGAAGGAGAAAAACAUGCUGAUGACUCAACGCCAGAUGCUUCAUGCCCAGAACUUCAGAUUUCCCAAUCCAGAACGCUUACCCAAGGUGAGGAAGUCAAUGUGUCGUAUCAAGCAUGUUCUCACCGAGAGAGCAAUUGAAGAGCUAGAUCCCAUGAGGUCUGCUGAGAUGAAGAGGAUGAUAAAUACAUUGUGAUAACACCCAACUUCUGUUUCUGCUCCCCUGGGCACUGGAUGAGGUCUAUUUGAGGGAUGCGAUGCUGCUAUAAUUUUCCUGGUUCUCUCCUUUUCGAUUCAACCUUGUCCUCAUGGGAGAACUGAGGAAACCUGAAAUUGAAUUCUUCCACAAAUUCCCAAUUAGCGUCCGAUGGGGAUUGGUUCUUCCAGUGAAUCAAAACCUGGGUUGCUACCUUAUUACUCCUUUUAACCAUUCUGCAGUUGAGAACAACCUGAGGUUGAAGAGUUGGCGCCUUGGGAAAUUGGGGUGGAGAAGAUUCAACCACUUUGUUGCCAAUAUGCUUCUUCAGUUGUGACACAUGGAACACCGAUUGUAUUGCUACGGAUGGCAGGUCCAAACGAUAUGCCACAAAGCCAAUUCUCUCCAAAUCCAAGUAUUGACCCUGGUGUUUUGAUGCCAAUUUCUACGAAAUUUUGUGUGCUAUAGUUUUUUUAUCGAUAUGGUUGCAAUUUGAUAUAAGACAAGGUCUUCUGCUUCAUAUGUUCUUUCACUCCUUUUUCUGUUUUCCACGUGAACCAUCAUAUGCUGAGCAGAUUGUACAUUGGUCUUAA